rnacentral:rRNA from 1 species
UACGUAGGUGUCGAGCGUUGUCCGGAUUUAUUGGGCGUAAAGAGCCCGCAGGCGGCUUGGCAAGUUUGAGGUGAAAUCUCCCGGCUUAACUGGGAGGAGGCCUCGAAAACUGCCAGGCUUGAGGCAUGGAGAGGGAUGCGGAAUUCACGGUGUAGCAGUGAAAUGCGUAGAUAUCGUGAGGAACACCAGAGGCGAAGGCGGCUACCUGGACAAUUGCUGACGCUCAGGCACGAAAGCGUGGGGAGCAAAAGGG